rnacentral:rRNA from 1 species
CAGUAGCCGCGGUAAUACGUAGGGUGCAAGCGUUAAUCGGAGUUACUGGGCGUAAAGCGUGCGCAGGCGGUUCUAUAAGACAGAUGUGAAAUCCCCGGGCUCAACCUGGGAACUGCAUUUGUGACUGUAGAGCUGGAGUGCGGCAGAGGGGGAUGGAAUUCCGCGUGUAGCAGUGAAAUGCGUAGAUAUGCGGAGGAACACCGAUGGCGAAGGCAAUCCCCUGGGCCUGCACUGACGCUCAUGCACGAAAGCGUGGGGAGCAAACAGGAUUAGAUACCCGUGUAGUCCCUGUCUCUUAUAA